GAAAAGUGAGUAAGCCUGGACGCAGAGACGGGGAGCUGGGUCCUGCCUGCAUGGAAUGGAACUACCCAGAGGUAGACAGGAAAAUCUUGCCUCUGUUCGCUUCUGCACAGAACCUAUCAGCGAGUGAGAGGACCAUGCCCAACAUCCCUAUCUAGGAGGAAGAGCUGCACUCAGAGAACAACCAUGUCGAUGUCUAUCCACCUGGUGUUGAAGCUCUACCAGCAAAGGGCCCGAGUCACUUACACCCAAUUUUCAGAAUGUGGUGGUCCAGAAAGGAAGCAGAGAUUAUGAACACCCUUGCACACCUAGCAAUCAGAUUCCUCUGACAUCUACCGGGCACAUGGACAAAAUUAGGACUUCUGUAUUUGCAGCUCCUGACUUAGGAUGAAAACAAUCUCAUUGAACAAUGGAAAUUCUUCUCACUGCCCCUAAAAAAAAACUUAU